GGCGGAGCCUCGCCCGCCCGCUCCCUCCGCUUUUGUUCCGCCCGAGGCGAAGCGACGGGAGCGGCUUCAGCGGUGAUUCCCGGAGCCCCCUCGAAUCCGGAGCCAUGUCCUACAUCCCGGGCCAGCCCGUCACUGCCGUGGUGCGAAUGGUUGAAGUCCACAA